rnacentral:tRNA from 1 species
GCCGGCGUAGCUCAGGGGUAGAGCAGCUGAUUCGUAAUCAGCAGGUCAAGGGUUCAAUUCCCUUCGCCGGCUCCA